UGAGGAAUAUUGGUCAAUGGACGCAAGUCUGAACCAGCCAAGUAGCGUGCAGGAUGACGGCCCUAUGGGUUGUAAACUGCUUUUAUAUGGGGAUAAAGUGGGGAACGUGUUCCCUUUUGCAGGUACCAUAUGAAUAAGGACCGGCUAAUUCCGUGCCAGCAGCCGCGGUAAUACGGAAGGUUCGGGCGUUAUCCGGAUUUAUUGGGUUUAAAGGGAGCGUAGGCCGUUUGGUAAGCGUGUUGUGAAAUGUAGGAGCUCAACUUCUAGAUUGCAGCGCGAACUGUCAGACUUGAGUGCGCACAACGUAGGCGGAAUUCAUGGUGUAGCGGUGAAAUGCUUAGAUAUCAUGAAGAACUCCGAGUGCGAAGGCAGCUUACGGGAGCGCAACUGACGCUGAAGCUCGAAGGUGCGGGUAUCGAACAGG
rnacentral:rRNA from 1 species